UGGGGAAUAUUGCACAAUGGGCGCAAGCCUGAUGCAGCCAUGCCGCGUGUAUGAAGAAGGCCUUCGGGUUGUAAAGUACUUUCAGCAGUGAGGAAGGCGGGUACGUUAAUAGCGUAUUCGUUUGACGUUAGCUGCAGAAGAAGCACCGGCUAACUCCGUGCCAGCAGCCGCGGUAAUACGGAGGGUGCGAGCGUUAAUCGGAAUUACUGGGCGUAAAGCGCAUGCAGGUGGUUUGUUAAGUCAGAUGUGAAAGCCCGGGGCUCAACCUCGGAAUAGCAUUUGAAACUGGCAGACUAGAGUACUGUAGAGGGGGGUAGAAUUUCAGGUGUAGCGGUGAAAUGCGUAGAGAUCUGAAGGAAUACCGGUGGCGAAGGCGGCCCCCUGGACAGAUACUGACACUCAGAUGCGAAAGCGUGGGGAGCAAACAGGAUUAGAUACCCCCGUAGUCC
rnacentral:rRNA from 1 species